AGCAGCGUGCGUCAGCAAGGUAGCAGAAGCAGGAAGAGAGCCAGCAAGAAGACACCUACCCUGGCAGGAAGACACGUACCCGUGAAGAUAGAGAAAGAGGCCAUCCAGGUUUCAAGUUUGCCUGGGAUUGAAGGGUUGGAGGAUGUGGGACUUCCAAUGCAAAAACUGGGACAGUGAAAACCAGGAUAGUUGGUCACCCUACCAUGGAUGGGACCUGACCUUCUGUCUAGUCACUUUUGUUUAAAAUAUAUUUCCCCCAUUAAGCUUUGAUGUUCUUUGAAGGCAAUGUCCUCCCGUUGGUCCUUGGCAUAUAAUACUUUUCUUGAUGCUUAAUAAAUAUUCAGUGAAUGAUUUUCUAUUUUCAAAGGGCUUAAAAUAGCUCUUGGGGUAUGAACAUAUUUAUUUUAUGGGUUGUUUCCUUCCUGUUAAUAGUAGCACUGUGAUAUGGUUUGGCUGUGUCCCCACCCAAAUCUUAUCUUGAAUUCCCAUGUCUUUCCCUUGCUGUUCUCAUGAUAGAGAGUAAGUCUCACAAGAUCUGAUGGUUAUUAUAAGGGGGAAUUUUCCUGCACAAGCUCUCUUUUUGUGUGCUGCCAUCCAUGUAAGACAUGACUGGCUGCUCCUUGCCUUCCACCGUGAUUGUGAAGCCUCACCAGCCGUGUGGAACUGUAAGUCCAAUAAACUUCUUUCUUUUGUAAAUUGCCCGGUCUCAGGUGUGUCUUUAUCAGCAGCAUGAAAAUGGACUAUUACAGUAAAUUGGUACAAGUAGAGUGGGGUGCUGCUGAAAAGAUACGUGAAAAUGUGGAAGCAACUUUGGAACUGGGUUAUAGGCAGAAGUUGGAACAGUUUGGAGGGCUCAGAAGAAGACAGGAAAAUGUGGGAAAGUUUGGAACCGUAGAGACUUGUUGAAUGGCUCUGAUCAAAAUCCUGAUAGCCAUAUGGACAAUAAGGUCCAGGCUGAGGUGGUCUAAGAUGGAGAUGAGGAACUUCUUGGGAACUGGAGCGAAGGUGACUCUUGCUAUGUUUUAGCAAACACACUGGUGGCAUUUUUCCCCUGCUUUAGAGAUUUGUGGAACUUUGAACAUGAAAGAGAUAAUUUAGCGUAUCUGGUGAAAGAAAUUUCUAAACAGCAAAGCAUUCAAGAGGCGACUUGGGUCCUGUUAAAGGCAUUCAAUUUUAUAGGGAAGCAGAGCAUAAAAGUUCAGAAAAUUUGAAGCCUGACAAUGUGAUAGAAAACAAAAGCCCAUUUUCUGAGGAGAAAUUGAAGCUGGCUGCAGAUAUUUGCAUAAGUAAUGAGGAGCCUAAUGUUCAUCCCCAAGACAGUAAAGAAAAUGUCUCCAGGGCAUGUCAGAGGUCUUCUUGUCAGCCCCUCCCAUCACAGACUAGGAGGCCUAGGAGAAAAUGGUUUCAUGGGCCAGGCCCAGGGUUCCUGUGCUGUGUGCAAUCUAUGAAGUUGGUGGCCUGCAUCCUGGCCACUCCAGCCAUGACUAACAGGGGCCAAGGUACAGCUCAAGCUGUUGCUUCAGAGGAUGGAAGCCCGAAGCCUUGGCAGCUUACAUGUGGUGUUGAGCCUGUGGGUGCCCAGAAAUCAAGAAUUGAGGUUUGGGAACCUCUGUCUAGAUUUCAGAAGAGUUAUAGAAAUGCCUGGAUGCCCAGACAAAAGUUUGCUGCAGGGAUGGGGCCCUCAUGGAGAACCUCUGCUAGGGCAGUGUGGAAGGGAAAUGUGGGGUUGGAGUCCCAACACAGAGUCGCUACUGGGGCACUGCCUAGCAGAGCUUGAGAAGAGGGCCACCAUCCUCCAGACCUCAGAAUGGUAGAUCCACCGACAGCUUGCACUGUGCACCUGGAAAAGCUACAGACACUCAACACCAGCCCGUGAAAGCAGCUGGGAGGGAGGCUGUACCCUGCAAAGCCACAGGGGUGGAGCUGCCCAAGACCAUGGCAGCACACUUCUUGCAUCAGCGUGACCUGCGUGUGACACAUGGAGUCAAAGGAGAUCAUUUGGAGUUUUAAGAUUUGACUGCCCCGGGCCGGGCGCGGUGGCUCACGCCUGUAAUCCCAGCACUUUGGGAGGCCGAGGCGGGUGGAUCAUGAGGUCAGGAGAUCGA
rnacentral:lncRNA from 10 species